GAUGAACGCUGGCGGCGUGCUUAACACAUGCAAGUCGAACGGUGAACACGGAGCUUGCUCUGUGGGAUCAGUGGCGAACGGGUGAGUAACACGUGAGCAACCUGCCCCUGACUCUGGGAUAAGCGCUGGAAACGGCGUCUAAUACUGGAUAUGUGACGUGACCGCAUGGUCUGCGUUUGGAAAGAUUUUUCGGUUGGGGAUGGGCUCGCGGCCUAUCCGCUUGUUGGUGGGGUAAUGGCUCACCAAGGCGUCGACGGGUAGCCGGCCUGAGAGGGUGACCGGCCACACUGGGACUGAGACACGGCCCAGACUCCUACGGGAGGCAGCAGUGGGGAAUAUUGCACAAUGGACGCAAGCCUGAUGCAGCAACGCCGCGUGAGGGAUGACGGCCUUCGGGUUGUAAACCUCUUUUAGCAGGGAAGAAGCGAAAGUGACGGUACCUGCAGAAAAAGCGCCGGCUAACUACGUG
rnacentral:rRNA from 1 species